UCGCGAAAACUUUGCAAUACACGCAAGUGUGACAGGGCUAUCCCGAGUGCCAUCCGCUGAGGAAGGCUUUUACCCAGUCUAGUAAGCUGGGAGAAUAAGGAGAGGGCAAGUCUGGUGUCAGCCGCCGCGGUAAUACCAGCUCUUCGAGUGGUGUGGAUGUUUAUUGGGCCUAAAGCAUCCGUAGCUGGCUAGGUUAGUCCCCUGUUAAAUCCACCGAAUCAAUCGUUGGAUUGCGGGGGAUACUGCUUGGCUAGGGGACGAGAGAGGCAGACGGUAUUUUUGGGGUAGGGGUGAAAUCCUAUAAUCCCAGGAAGACCACCAGUGGCGAAGGCUGUCUGCUAGAACGCGCCCGACGGUGAGGGAUGAAAGCUGGGGGAGCGAACCGGAUUAGAUACCCGGGUAGUCCCAGCUGUAAACGAUGCAGGCUAGGUGUUUGGACGGCCACGUGCCGUUCUAGUGCCGCAGGGAAGCUGUUAAGCCUGCCGCCUGGGGAGUACGAUCGCAAGAUUGAAACUUAAGGAAGUU
rnacentral:rRNA from 1 species